UGUCCUUCCUCCUCUGGUAGCUUCCUCUGCUGGGAAGAAGGGUGGGGAAGAGAUGCUGCAAGAGCUACAGAACUCCCGGCAGCCCUUAGGUUUGUUGUUUCCCUUUAUGACCUUCGGCCCUUUUCUAAAUCCAGCAGACAUCUGACUCCCUGGCAUGAUCAUCACACUCACGGUCAGAACGGCAGCACACACUCUGGCACUGAUGCCGGGAACUGUGAGUCACUGCUCCGGGUUCUUCCUGGUGUGGAAGUGAGUCUCCGAAGAGGGAGAAAGAGCAGUCUGUCAGAACCGGUUACAAGCUAAAACUAUACUAACUAAAACGGGGUCUCCACCUGCCCCUGCCUCCCGAGUGCUGGGAAUCAAAGUAGACAUCCUUCAUGCUGGGCUUCUGGCAAUACUUCAUGCACUAUAUCCCAUGGAAUUAUUUAAGAUGAGUAAAACUCUUUUGAGAAAUUAUUUUCUUUGUUCAAAGACUCAUACGUGGAUCCUUCCUGAAAAAUAUGUGAUUAGUCUUUUUAUCUAAAAGACCAUGGAAUUCUUCAUUUUCUCAGUUUUUUUUUUUCCUACCUCCUCUUUCUUCAUCCGUUAUUUUCAACGAUAAAAAUGUAAACUUUGUUACAAGGUCAUUUGGAACUGGGAGCUUUUAGAAAAACAUUGAAUGAAAUAAAACAUAGUCAGUGACUAUAUGACUUUA
ensembl:lncRNA